GCCAAGGAGGGGUUUGAAGGCACACACGGGACGCUGUUCUCCGGCACAGGGUACAGGGGACCCCUCUGGCCCCUCUGGAGAUUAUAUGUAGAAUACCAAGACUGAAGAAGCAAGCAUGGACGUGGAGGAGAGAGGACGGCUUUGGGCCUAACAUGGUAACAUGGAGGGGACAGAGCGAACUGAGUGGCUUUGUGGAAGUAUUUUGAAGGCAGAGCUGACCAUACUUGCUGCUGUGUUGUUCUUAGUUGGUAUUGGUGCCGUACAUGUGUCAUUCAUUUCUCACGCUAAGAGUGCUGGAUAGGAACUACAUUUCUGACAUCACAGGUGAUGAGAGAGUUGUUUGGGUGGAUUACCUGCCCACCUUCACGCUGCCACAAAAGAGCAGAAUCGAUAUUCAAGUUCAAAGAAGAGUGCGUUUCCAUAAUAUCGUCACACUGAGUAGCAAUUCACCUUUAAAAUGCUUCUAUCCUGCUCUGACACGGUUGUAAAACAAAAAUCUAACCGGACCAACUGUUCUUCAGAGCCUAUCGACAGUCGGCCGAAAGCACUGAUUCACUGGAUAGAACCCAGGUUCCACUUCAGAAGCUCAGCUCGCAAGAAACUCACAGCCCUGCACUGCCUUUGUUUUUGAGUCGCUGCCAAAAUCUGUUGCUUACUCCCUUAUUGGCACAACUGAACUCCUGUGUAAGAACUCAGCCCUCAGUAGAACAUUAAAUAUUUGAAUAUACAAGCAUUUCCUCUCAAGAAAAUCUCUUCUAUCACUGCACCACAGUGCUUUGUAAAAUAGAAUCUAAAACAUUUCUGAGCUUGAGUUGGAUGUAUUUUCUACAGGUAGUAUGGAGAUAUAUAUCAGUAUUCUUAUUGACAUACCUUUUAAGGUUACAAAAGUCAUACCUGAUAUCUGCACUUAGGCUGAUUUUUAACUGCUAAUGAUAGUUACUGUCUUUCUGACUCGUUAGAAGUUGGGUCCUCCUAGUGCCUCCGAUAGAAACAGGAAGGAUGGAAAGCUUGUCUGGUGGGGCACCUUGUUCUGAGGAACUAGGGAUCACAUCAGAUCCAUACAGCCUGAGCCCCGACAACCCUGUGCGAAGAUACUUCAGAGGAGCAGGUCGACAGUGCCCUUCUGAAGCAAUCACAGAAAGAAACCUCAUCUACAGGCCGACCAACAAUCUUGUACCAGUAACACCUGAUUAAAUUAUCUUUGGCAAAAAUAAAAAUAAUAAUAAAGGAGGAAUAUUUCAAAACAAAACCUCAGCAAAAAUACCUUUUGUUGAAUUUCAAGGUUUGCAACAGCAGCCUUAUAAAAAGCUUCCAUUAAUUCAAUUUUAGGUUGGCAUGAAAAUGAUAGUGUGUUUUGGAGGGUAAUUCUCCUAAAAACAACACAAUGCAACUGAAAUGGCACACUCCUCAUUACCUGCAUUCUGAGUAAUAAGAUGUUAACCUAAAGGAGAGACUGCUGAGAUGUCUCCUAUACCUAAAUUGCACUGUGUGGGUGACUCCCUUUGACACAGGUAAAUUCCUGUGUGGGCUGAAAUAGCUCUGUGAAAAUGCCCUCUGAUGCUUACUUUAAAAGACUUUGCAAGCCACAGCUGGCUCUCCUUUCAUUAUCCCUAUAAACUUACGAAAAAUACAGCACAAAGGAACGUUAUAAUGAUGUGCAGUUCUUUGUGGAAAAUAUUCAGUAGAAGAAACUGUAGAUGAAAGAAACAAAGUUGUAGCUAUUAUUAGGAAAUUGUAACUUGGUUUCAUAAAUUUCUACAUAAGUCUAGAGUAGAAGGAAAGCAAUUAAACGUAAAAGUCAAGUCAAUCAGAAGCACAGACAAAAAUUUUAUGUAAAGUUAUAUUCAGAGGAGUGGUGGUAAUAAUAUAAAUUUAGGAAUCACCUUCAUGUUUGGGGGUAAGAAAAUAGAUACACAAAUGUAUUCACUCAUAAUCCCUUAAAAUAAUGUUUCACAGACUAUGCUCUAAGGAAAUACUCUUGUCACUAAGUUGCAUGGUACAACACAGGGCAAUGAAGGUGGGACUCUUGCCAUAGGCCAAGCACUUUGUCAUGAACCUUAGUGCAUGUAGUAUAACCAAGCAUUUACUGCAAAUCUCAUGGGCUCGAGAAGAGCAAUCCUAGCGUCUAGGGAACUGAAGAAAUUAAGGGUUUGUAAAAGUGUGUUUUGGUGAUCAUGACACAUAUAAGCAGUGAGUCACUGAGCUUUUUAAUUAUGAGUUCCUACACUGUACUUUUACAUAUUGGAUCCGUGUUUUGGGUAAUCACAGAGGACUGGAAGGAUAAUGUAACAUAUGCUUUAAUUUUACCCUUUGGCUCCUCCAGCUCACCUGCUUCAGAAUUUUGUAAGCUUCAAUCUCUCUGUCACUUUAUUAUGCUGACUACUUGUAUUUGUGAAUGGGAAUGUCUUAGUGAAUGGCCACCAUAGAAUCAGAAGAGAAUUCCCAUGGGGAAUGUUAUUAGGGAAGAUUUGAUACAGAGGGAAAUCUACAUACCUGGAAAACAAAAUAUGUAAUUUAAAGACAAGUUAAACUAACUUUUUUCUUUCUUGGUUACAAUGACUGAUAAACAUUCUGUUCCAUUUUAUUGAUUCGGUACAUAUGAUACACUACAAAUAUGUAUUGGUAAUGUCACAAUAGUAGCAGCUUCCUGGACCUCUGACACUUAAAAUAUAUCUAAUUAUUAAAAAUCAACUAACUAAUAAUUGGAGCAGUGAUUGACACAACCUCAACAGCUUCAAUGCAACUCGUGAGAUUUUCUUGACUUUGAGCACAAAUCAAUUGUUCAUGAGUUUCCUAAAUCCUCCAUUCCAGUGGUCAAGAUCAUAAAUAUUUGAGAGAACAGAUAGAUGAUAUUCCACUGAAGGUAGAAGCAGUGUGAUAACCACUCAAUAGAUACCUUGGGCAAUGGUAAAAUCCUCUUUAUGUGCUACAUUCAAAAAUAUUUCUUAUUGUAGGAUUUCUCUAGGAGCUCCUUUAGGAAAUUAUAUUGCCAGAGUAUAUUUCAUUUAAUUUUUUUAUCAACUUGAGAGAAAUAGCAGAAAUAAUCUUUACUCAAAAACUUGAGUUAUUUUUGCUGCCAAAAGGGAAUGUAUGUUCACUUGAUAUUUUUAAGCACAAAUGAGAAAAAAAUAAGUAAGAGGAGUUAUUUCAGCUCAUUCGAGUACACCAAAGCCUUCUGUAGGGUGAGCAAAAAAUGGCAUUGGAAAAACACAUACACAAGGCAUUUUCUGACUAGAGCCGGCAAGUCAGGCUGAGUGCCAGCCACACCCUGCUCAUGUGCUGGACACCAGAACAGUGCGAUACAACAAAUGGUCAGGGUCCGGUGUUUAAAGACUUCAUCUCUGGGUUCAGGGUCUGCCAUCUCCCAGCUACCUGAGUAGGAGCAGGUGCCCGGUCUACUCUCCAUCAGUGACAUGUGCAGCAAUGACUCGAUCUAAGAGGAUUCCUCCAAAGACUACAUGAGUCUCACCUUUGCUCCAGCAAACACCGUGCUCUGGACAGGAGACACACAAUGCUUGCUGGGUAAUUACAAAACAAAAUUCUUCAGGGGGCCCAAAGAGGUAUUGAUCGUGCCAGAGCAAGAGCAGCAAAAGAGAAUUCAGUGAUCCCAGUGUGUCCCCAGGGCUUGAGCUCCAGAUGGGUCUGUUUUCAUAUUCCUCAGACUUCCCAGGCAAAGUCUCAUCUACCGGAGACGUUCUCCAACACAUUCUGUUCUUUCCCUAACUGCAAUUUCAGACCUCCCUGUGGCACAUCUUUCUUCUUUACACCACUCAGCUUUUUCAUGUGACUACUUAUGCACAAUUUCUCAGAAGUUCUAAAAGGAAAAGAGUCUGUAUGUCGCUCAAGACUGUAUCAUCCUAGUAUGGUACAUACAGCUUGUACACAAAUGGAUACUCAGUAAAUGUGUGUUGGAUAAAUUCACAAAUAAUUUUAAUCUAUGCCACAUAAUAAUUAAGAAUAUAGCAAGGAAAUGGCUGAGGAAUUCAGAUAUGUGUGAGG
ensembl:lncRNA